AUGGCAAGGCAUGAUAGCAUCAAUAACCUUGAUGGCAAGUUCAACCUAGGAUAUGCUGGCUAUGCAUGUUGGCCUGGUAUUCUUCCACCCUUCAGGAAAACCAGGUACCAUAUGAAUGAGUUCUCUUCUAGGAACUACCCUAGGAUUGCGCAAGAAUUGUUCGAUCUCAGACACUCCAGCCUUAGAGUCACGGUUGAGAGGGCAUUUGAAGCUCUGGAGAAUCGAUUUAAGAUCUUGGAUCAGAAGCCAUUCCACCCUUACCCCACUCAAGUUAAGCUUGUUCUUGUUUGUUGCAUUCUGCAUAACUAGAUCCUGCAACGGGGUUAUGAAGAGUUCGGGUCGGAGGAGGAAGAUGUGACUGCCGAUGAUGAUGACUCCCUUCAUGGUGUGGAGGCACAUGACAGUGAAGCUUGGAAGACCAAAAGGAUGGAAUGGGCUGAGGCAAUAUGGGCAAACAGAUGA
rnacentral:rRNA from 1 species